CGCGGGAGCCCGGCCACCGCCCCCGAUGCGACCAGUGCAGUGUCUGCAGCUGGGAGGAGUUGCGGCCGCGAUGCUGGUGGCGGCGGCUGCGGAGCGGAACAAGGAGCCAAUCCUGCACGUGCUACGGCAGUACCUGGACCCGACCCAGCGCGGCGUCCGCGUACUCGAGGUGGCCUCGGGCUCCGGCCAGCACGCGGCGCACUUCGCGCGGGCCUUCCCCCUGGCCGAGUGGCAGCCGUCGGACGUGGACCAGCGCUGCCUGGACAGCAUCGCGGCCACCACGCAAGCCCAGGGUCUGACCAACGUGAAGGCCCCGCUGCACCUGGACGUGACGUGGGGCUGGGAGCACUGGGGCGGGAUCCUGCCGCAGUCGCUGGACCUGUUGCUCUGCAUCAACAUGACCCACAUCAGCCCCCUGUGCUGCACGGAGGGGCUCUUCAGAGCAGCAGGACACCUGCUCAAACCCAGAGCCCUGCUCAUCACCUACGGGGUGAGUGGGCCUGUCCAGGGCGGCCUCCCGCUCGAAGUCCUAGCUGCUCUCUCCUGCCCUACUCAGAGUCCUCCCUCCUUGGCUCCCUGCCCCCCGCCCAGCCACCAGCAUGGCCUCCCAUCCAAUUCCACUCUGCACCCCUCCCUGGGUCACCUGCCAGCCUCCCUACCCCCUUGCCCACCAGCCUGGCCUUGGCUGACUCCCUCUUGGGGACAGGGAGGGGGUGCCCGUUUCAUUCUCUGGACCCCAGACUGCAAGUCUGUCCCGGGCUCUCUGGGAAAUAGCGACCUUGGUCCAGUGGGCUGUGUCCGCAUCCCCGCAGCCCUAUGCCAUCAACGGGAAGAUCUCUCCCCAGAGCAACGUGGACUUUGACCUAAUGCUCAGAUGCAGGAACCCGGAAUGGGGCCUUCGGGACACAGCCCUCCUGGAGGACCUGGGACAGGCCAGUGGCCUGCUCCUGGAGAGGAUGGUGGACAUGCCAGCCAACAACAAGUGCCUGAUCUUCA